AGAACGAACGCUGGCGGCGUGGAUAAGACAUGCAAGUCGAACGCGACUUAUCGUGUUAGCAAUAACAUGGUAAGUUGAGUGGCGAAAGGGUGCGUAACACGUGGGAAUUUACCAAGAAGUGGGGAAUAGCUCGACGAAAGUCGAAUUAAUACCGCAUGUGAUCGAAAGAUCAAAGCCGGGGACCGCAAGGCCUGGCGCUUUUUGAGAAGCCCGCGGCCCAUCAGCUAGUUGGCGGGGUAACGGCCCACCAAGGCUAUGACGGGUAGCUGGUCUGAGAGGACGACCAGCCACACUGGAACUGAGACACGGUCCAGACACCUACGGGUGGCAGCAGUCGAGAAUUUUUUCACAAUGG
rnacentral:rRNA from 1 species